GGGGAAUAUUGCGCAAUGGGGGAAACCCUGACGCAGCGACGCCGCGUGAAGGAAGAAGGUCUUCGGAUCGUAAACUUCUUUGACUGGGGAAGAGUAGAAGACGGUACCCAGGGAACAAGCCACGGCUAACUACGUGCCAGCAGCCGCGGUAAUACGUAGGUGGCGAGCGUUGUCCGGAAUUACUGGGUGUAAAGGGCGUGUAGGCGGGAGAGCAAGUCAGGUGUGAAAGCCCAAGGCUCAACGUUGGGACUGCAUCUGAAACUGUUUUUCUUGAGUACUGGAGAGGGAAGCGGAAUUCCUAGUGUAGCGGUGAAAUGCGUAGAGAUUAGGAGGAACACCAGUGGCGAAGGCGGCUUCCUGGACAGAGACUGACGCUGAGGCGCGAAAGCGUGGGGAGCGAAC
rnacentral:rRNA from 1 species